CCUACGGGAGGCAGCAGUGGGGGAUAUUGCACAAUGGGGGGAACCCUGAUGCAGCGACGCCGCGUGGGUGAAGGAGUGCUUCGGCAUGUAAAGCCCUAUCGGCAGGGAAGAAGCAAGACGGUACCUGACUAAGAAGCCCCGGCUAACUACGUGCCAGCAGCCGCGGUAAUACGUAGGGGGCGAGCGUUAUCCGGAUUCACGGGGUGUAAAGGGAGCGUAGACGGCCAUGCAAGCCAGGGGUGAAAGCCCGGGGCCCAACCCCGGGACUGCCCUUGGAACUGCAUGGCUGGGUGGCGGGAGGGGCAGGCGGAAUUCCUGGUGUAGCGGUGAAAUGCGUAGAUAUCAGGAGGAACACCGGCGGCGAAGGCGGCCUGCGGGACCGCGACUGACGUUGAGGCUCGAGAGCGUGGGGAGCGAACAGGAUUAGAUACCUAGUAGUC
rnacentral:rRNA from 1 species